GAUGAACGCUAGCGGCAGGCUUAAUACAUGCAAGUCGAGGGGCAUCAAGGUACACGAAAGUGUAUUGUUGGCGACCGGCGGACGGGUGAGUAAUAGGUAGGUAACCUACCUCAUACUGAGGCAUAGCUGGGAGAAAUUCCAGGUAAUUCCUCAUGAGGUUAUAUGACACAUGUGAUAUAAUCAAAGGUAUCGCAAGGUACUGGUAUGAGAUGGGCUUACUGACCAUUAGCUAGUUGGUGAGAUAAGAGCUCACCAAGGCGAAGAUGGUUAGGGGUUUUGAGAGAGAGAUCCCCCACAUUGGAACUGAGAUACGGUCCAGACUCCUACGGGAGGCAGCAGUAGGGAAUAUUGGGCAAUGGGCGGAAGCCUGACCCAGCCAUGCCGCGUGAAGGAAGACGGCCUUAUGGGUUGUAAACUUCUUUACUAUGCGACUAACUAGAUUUACGAGAUAAUUCUAUAGAAUGUAGCAUAGACAAAAAGCAACCC
rnacentral:rRNA from 1 species